AGGCUUUUUAAUAUUUAAAGACAGUGGAGAGUUUGAUUCUCCGCUCAAGAGAAGCCGAUCAAAUCUUGUUUGUUCUCAUGCUCGGUACACAGGUUCCAAACUGAAGCGCAUAAAGGAUCUUCUCGGAUCUGGCACAGGUAAUCAUUUCAUUUUGAAGAUACAUGACGAUUCAGAGUAUUUUAAUCGAGGCAGUGGACUUUUGAACAAUGCUGUGGAUGUAUAUUAUGCAAUAUGUACAAAAAUAACAGUAUGUAUAUUUUGUUUAGACUCAGUUGCUAGAGUUACUGUUGCUUACUGCAAAAAUGUAUGUAAACUCUUCUGGAGCCGACACUGGGUCCUUCACAUUGACCUUUCUGGGAAAGAAAGUAGGGCGACAUCGUUCUGUGGCCCCUGCAGGCAAGAAAUGUGCCUGGGAGAGAAACAACCCAUGUACCUGCCCAGAGGAGCCCACAGUUUUCCCAAAGCUCGGACCGGUCCCAGCGACAACACACGACCUGGAUCUACCUGGAAGGGUUCCACAGUUCAUGGAUGAGAGUUCAUAUCAAGUAGACCAGAGAAAAAACAACACAGCAGGUGCUUCUGGAAAGAAAAUAACACCAUGACGACACACCCACAUUCCUGAUUGAGGAACGAGUGAGAAGGGAGAGGAAAACAAAUGUUACGAUGAUGAAAGAGAUUGAUGACAUUGAAUGCCAAUAAUCACUGUGAUAAAUAAGAUAAGCCGCAACCGUGGGAUCCUUUCAAAAGAUACAAAUAAACAGACAGACUGGAUGUAUUGCAUCUACAGUACUAUUAUUGGUACACUAUAGUAUACUUCAACUGUAAAAUAAUCACACACCAUACACUUUAAAACUGUUUUUGUGUAAACCAACUCAAAUCAAUCAAACUUUAGCCAUUGUAAUGUAUCUAUUUUUUCCAAUGCCUGUCACAUUUAAACUAUGACAUGACUGCUUAAAAUCGCAUUUCAUAAACAAAACAUGUCUGUAGCGAUCUACAAAAAAAUGGCAAAUUUAAUAAUUGGUAUGGUGAUAAGGGGUGAUGUAUUUUAUGUCA